AGUGAACGCUGGCGGUAGGCCUAACACAUGCGAGUCGAACGGCAGCACAGUAAGAGCUUGCUCUUACGGGUGGCGAGUGGCGGACGGGUGAGGAAUACAUCGGAAUCUACUUUUUCGUGGGGGAUAACGUAGGGAAACUUACGCUAAUACCGCAUACGACCUACGGGUGAAAGCAGGGGAUCUUCGGACCUUGCGCGAUUGAAUGAGCCGAUGUCGGAUUAGCUAGUUGGCGGGGUAAAGGCCCACCAAGGCGACGAUCCGUAGCUGGUCUGAGAGGAUGAUCAGCCACACUGGAACUGAGACACGGUCCAGACUCCUACGGGAGGCAGCAGUGGGGAAUAUUGGACAAUGGGCGCAAGCCUGAUCCAGCCAUACCGCGUGGGUGAAGAAGGCCUUCGGGUUGUAAAGCCCUUUUGUUGGGAAAGAAAAGCAGCAGGUUAAUACCCCGCUGUUCCGACGGUACCCAAAGAAUAAGCACCGGCUAACUUCGU
rnacentral:rRNA from 1 species